rnacentral:rRNA from 1 species
UACGAAGGGGGCUAGCGUUGCUCGGAAUUACUGGGCGUAAAGCGCACGUAGGCGGCUUUCUAAGUCGGGGGUGAAAUCCUGGAGCUCAACUCCAGAACUGCCUUCGAUACUGGAAAGCUCGAGUCCGGGAGAGGUGAGUGGAACUGCGGGUGUAGAGGUGAAAUUCGUAGAUAUUCGCAAGAACACCAGUGGCGAAGGCGGCUCACUGGCCCGGUACUGACGCUGAGGUGCGAAAGCGUGGGGAGCAAACAGGG